UUCGGCGUGGAGAAGUGGUUAACUCGUCAGCCUCAUAAGCUGAAGAUCGCUGGUUCAAAUCCAGCCGCCGAGACUA
rnacentral:tRNA from 1 species